AGGAAUUGCAAGAGGGAGAGAAUGAGAAAGAGAAGGAGAAAGAGAGGAAAAGAAGGAGAAGGAGAGGAAGAGGAAGAGAAAUAGAGGGAGAGAAGGAGAAAGAGAGAGAAAAUAAGAGAGUCCAAAAUUUUGAGGAUUAGAAUUUUAGGUCUCGAAAAAUUAUACCGUGAAGGGUUAAAUCAAGGUGCUCGUCGACGAGGAGAAGUUGAGAGGUUUCAGGAAACCGCGAAUCUCAGGCUCAUCGACGAGACCAUUGUUUUGUCGACGAGUUGUCUACUUUGGCUCGUCGACGAAGUCACCAUUCGUCGACGAGGUCGGCUGAGUCAAAGGGGCUAUAAAAAUCCAAUUGAGUUGCUUAAUCAUGAAGUUAGCUAAAAAUCCUCUCCCUCUCUCUAGAACACGAAGGUAACUCUCUCUCUCUUUAGAUUUCUUCACCGUACGUUGCUGAAAUCGUCAAUCCGAUGUUACCAUGAGGAUCAGUGAAGGAUUCUCUACAAGUUUAACGAAUUGGAUUUUCGUUUCAGACGUUUUCGGGUUUUGGCUCAAAAUUGAGGUUUUGGGAACUUGAGUUGCGGUUUAGGGGCCGUGGAGCUCGGGUUUGGAUUUUCGGGGAAAGGAACUGCGUUCCGAGUUAUUCCAGGUAUGGAAAGAGUGUCUGGCUCUAUAUCCGAAGGCGUAUGAAAUCGUUGGCGGCCAUGUUUGGCAAGAGUGUCCGACUCUAUAUCUGAGGGCGUGAGCCUUACCGGCUGAUCACUAAAGGGUGUGGAUCCACGAGUUUAUAUCGGUACGAUGCCACGGGAGCCUAGGGCUAUGCCAUGUGCCAGGGAUGCCAUGUAUCGUGGGUUGGCUAUGGGCUGACGCCGGGUAUCGCAGGUCGGCUACGGACCGAAGGGUGUGACGACAAUGGGUUGCUUGAUCAUGUGUGUGUGCGUGUGAUGCACUGUACUGGAAUUGCAUUUAACUGUGUAUGUUUUGCUGUCAUGAUAACACUCAAAUGCCACACACCAAUAUAACCUGUAUUUGCCUUACUAAGAUGUGUCUCACCCCUGCUGUAUGUACAUAUUUUUUAAGUCCUUUGAGUAAUUGAGACUAACUUCCUUGGGUUGGGAGCGUAGUGGCCAGUGUACUGCGGUUAGCGCUUGUGUAAGUGCUACGAAUUUUAUUUAGGGGUUGUCAUUUUUGGGAUAUGGUUGGCACUCGAGUUUAUGUUUUAUGUUAUGGAGCCUGAACUCCUAUUGUAUAGACUUUGGUAUGGUACUGUAUAUGUACAGAAAGACCUUUUGCCCUA